GUAAAGUUGGAGAGACAGCCAAGGGAGUUUGACAGGGAGUUGUGGAGAUACCAAAAAGACAUGAUGUCUCUAGAAGCAAAAUAAGUGGGCAGCUAAUAAAGGUUCUGGCCUGAAGAAAGCCAGAAUGGGAGAGAGGAAAACUGAGGGUUGAGUUGGAAGCAGGAGUGGCCCAAAUUACAAUCACUCCCAAUGACCCACUAAGAGACUUUGUGCUUCCCUUUCCCAAAACUCUUGGCUCUGCUGGGUUGGAGAUCCUGGUCUCCAGAGGAAGUACACUCUUGUCGGGAGACUCAGCAUGGGCCCUUUAAACUGCAAGCUAAGACUGCUGGCAAGACACUCUGGACUCUUGUGUCCAGAGGGCAGUGGGUGAGAAAAGGAGUCACUAUCUUGACGGUAGUAUCAGCAGGAGGAGGUGUUGGCCUUAUAUCUCCAUCUGUAGGUUCUCUCCAUCUACCCCUGUGUGCUCUCCAUUUUUCCGUCAUGGAAUUUUCCCUAAUAAAUCUCUCACGCAUCUAUCCCAUCUUGGUAUCCGCUUCUUGGAGAACCCAAACUGACACAGUCUGCAAUAAACAUUUUGC
rnacentral:lncRNA from 1 species